AGGCUUUCUCUCAGCCACAAUCUUAGCUUAGCUGUAAGGAAGACUGCAGUCACGUAGCACUUUGCUUCCAGGGAUCUCAAAGAACUUUAUGCAUCAUUUAUCGUGACCCUUGUUUUACAAAAGACCAGUUACCUGAGGUUUGGGCGGGGGUUAGGGGAUAGAUGUUUGAGGUAUAUUUACACCAUUAAUCGAGUGAGGGGGAAAAAAGACAAAACCUCUGGUUUAGCGGUUUCCUCCUCGAUCUGAAGCCCCUUCUCGCAGUCAUCUCAGCAAUGAAACUUCCUUUAUUUGUCCAGCACGAGAGGGCCAAAGAAACAGGUUUAUCCUCUCACCCAAAAGCCCUUUCUGAGACGGCUGGCCAGACACACACAGAGCACAGAGCCCUGCUUGGGAAGGAAGGUUCAGAGAACAAAUUGCCUUUUAAAACUGUUGGGCUGGACCUGCCUCUUCCAAAGCUAAAAAUGGUGAGUCAGGAUUUAGGCGUCCAUGCUCUGGGGAGAGAAGGCAGAUGUAAUUGGGGAAAGCUCUGGCUGGCAGGGUGUUGGGGUACAGGCGAGUUGGGGAGCUAGGUCUCCCAAGGGGGCCAGCAAUGCGCGUGCUAGUCGAUUGCGGGCUCCCGACGCGAGACACCCCAAAACCUGCUCCCCAGUGAGAACAAAGGCAGGCGCGGAGCGAGAACCUGAUUGGUGCCCGGUCCUCACCGGUGUCCUCCGGGCCCCGGAGAUAACUUGCUUCACCCACUGGCGCGGAGCUCCGUCUCACUGGAGCCCCAGCUCCCCACCCGGCCUUGGCUGUGACCACACAGGACUGUGCGUUAUGACAUCACCUGUUUUCGCUCUUUAGAACACGAUCAGUAUUCUCGGCUUCUCCUUUUUUAAAGGUCUCUAGUGCACAAGGAUUUGCGAAGGCCUGCCGUUCACAGAAUGAAUCUGUGGAGAUGAUUUAAAAGAACGGUUGCACUGGUUUGCAUUUCUGUCUUUUCUUUUUAAUUUAAAAGACUACCCUGGUUUCAUUAGGGAUUCAGUGUGGUGUUGUGAUGCAAAAUCAGAAAGAGACCAACACGCUUAAACGAAGUCUACACAAGGAACAAAGGAAAUGGAAAUCUGGCAGUGUCAGGUUUAAAUAGAUUAAAAUAGACUGGAAAACACUAAAAAGGUCUAAGUUAUGUGACUGGACUUCUUUUUUCUUUCUCUGGGGGCCACCCAAAGCCUUUGGAUUGCAGGUGCUUCAACAACAUCAUUCUACCCGGAUUCCAGAGUGAGAUCAGACUCAAGUCUGGCCACAUGGCACAAAUGGACAACCCAUACAUUUGGAGAGACUCCAAGAAAUCCAUCCGAAGCACUGAAUGGUCCUGGCCCUGUUCCAAAAUUUUACUAACCUUCCACAAAUUGGGAUUCCAGACACGUUCUUACCUUGGCCUCCAGGAUAAUGGAAGCCACAAAAGAGACAGAAAUUAAAAUGUCAGCCCAGCUGGGCCCCACAAUGUGGGCCAGCAAUUACAGUGGAACCCACUGCCUCUUAGAUCACCUUAGUGCAGAACAUCUGUGUUUCCUGCAACAAAGAUAAUAAAAUAAUCCAGAGCCCUGUCUUACAUGCUCCUUAACUCUGC
ensembl:lncRNA